AUGAACGCUAGCUACAGGCUUAACACAUGCAAGUCGAGGGGCAGCAUGGUCUUAGCUUGCUAAGGCCGAUGGCGACCGGCGCACGGGUGAGUAACACGUAUCCAACCUGCCGUCUACUCUUGGACAGCCUUCUGAAAGGAAGAUUAAUACAAGAUGGCAUCAUGAGUCCACAUGUUCACAUGAUUAAAGGUAUUCCGGUAGACGAUGGGGAUGCGUUCCAUUAGAUAGUAGGCGGGGUAACGGCCCACCUAGUCUUCGAUGGAUAGGGGUUCUGAGAGGAAGGUCCCCCACAUUGGAACUGAGACACGGUCCAAACUCCUACGGGAGGCAGCAGUGAGGAAUAUUGGUCAAUGGGCGAGAGCCUGAACCAGCCAAGUAGCGUGAAGGAUGACUGCCCUAUGGGUUGUAAACUUCUUUUAUAAAGGAAUAAAGUCGGGUAUGCAUACCCGUUUGCAUGUACUUUAUGAAUAAGGAUCGGCUAACUCCGUGCCAGCAGCCGCGGUAAUACGGAGGAUCCGAGCGUUAUCCGGAUUUAUUGGGUUUAAAGGGAGCGUAGAUGGAUGUUUAAGUCAGUUGUGAAAGUUUGCGGCUCAACCGUAAAAUUGCAGUUGAUACUGGAUAUCUUGAGUGCAGUUGAGGCAGGCGGAAUUCGUGGUGUAGCGGUGAAAUGCUUAGAUAUCACGAAGAACUCCGAUUGCGAAGGCAGCCUGCUAAGCUGCAACUGACAUUGAGGCUCGAAAGUGUGGGUAUCAAACAGGAUUAGAUACCCUGGUAGUCCACACGGUAAACGAUGAAUACUCGCUGUUUGCGAUAUACAGCAAGCGGCCAAGCGAAAGCGUUAAGUAUUCCACCUGGGGAGUACGCCGGCAACGGUGAAACUCAAAGGAAUUGACGGGGGCCCGCACAAGCGGAGGAACAUGUGGUUUAAUUCGAUGAUACGCGAGGAACCUUACCCGGGCUUAAAUUGCAGAUGAAUUACGGUGAAAGCCGUAAGCCGCAAGGCAUCUGUGAAGGUGCUGCAUGGUUGUCGUCAGCUCGUGCCGUGAGGUGUCGGCUUAAGUGCCAUAACGAGCGCAACCCUUGUUGUCAGUUACUAACAGGUUCCGCUGAGGACUCUGACAAGACUGCCAUCGUAAGAUGUGAGGAAGGUGGGGAUGACGUCAAAUCAGCACGGCCCUUACGUCCGGGGCUACACACGUGUUACAAUGGGGGGUACAGAGGGCCGCUACCACGCGAGUGGAUGCCAAUCCCCAAAACCUCUCUCAGUUCGGACCGGAGUCUGCAACCCGACUCCACGAAGCUGGAUUCGCUAGUAAUCGCGCAUCAGCCACGGCGCGGUGAAUACGUUCCCGGGCCUUGUACACACCGCCCGUCAAGCCAUGGGAGCCGGGGGUACCUGAAGUGCGUAACCGCGAGGAGCGCCCUAGGGUAAAACUGGUGACUGGGGCU
rnacentral:rRNA from 1 species